rnacentral:rRNA from 1 species
CGUAGGAGACGAGCGUUAUCCGGAUUUACUGGGCGUAAAGCGUGUGCAGGCGGUUCGGCAAGUUGGAUGUGAAAUCUCCCGGCUCAACUGGGAGGGGUCGUUCAAAACUACCGAACUUGAGGUCAUCAGAGGAAGGUGGAAUUCCGGGUGUAGUGGUGAAAUGCGUAGAUAUCCGGAGGAACACCAGUGGCGAAGGCGGCCUUCUGGGAUGAUCCUGACGCUCAGACACGAAAGCUAGGGGAGCGAACGGGAUUAGAGACCCCGGUAGUCCUAGCUGUAAACGAUGUAGACUUGGCGUCGGUAGGGUUCAAAACCUUCGGUGUCGUAGCUAACGCGAUAAGUCUACCGCCUGGGGACUACGGCCGCAAGGUUA